AGUGAACGCUGGCGGUAGGCCUAACACACGCAAGUCGAACGGCAGCACAGUAAGAGCUUGCUCUUACGGGUGGCGAGUGGCGGACGGGUGAGGAAUACAUCGGAAUCUACUUUUUCGUGGGGGAUAACGUAGGGAAACUUACGCUAAUACCGCAUACGACCUACGGGUGAAAGCAGGGGAUCUUCGGACCUUGCGCGAUUGAAUGAGCCGAUGUCGGAUUAGCUAGUUGGCGGGGUAAAGGCCCACCAAGGCGACGAUCCGUAGCUGGUCUGAGAGGAUGAUCAGCCACACUGGAACUGAGACACGGUCCAGACUCCUACGGGAGGCAGCAGUGGGGAAUAUUGGACAAUGGGCGCAAGCCUGAUCCAGCCAUACCGCGUGGGUGAAGAAGGCCUUCGGGUUGUAAAGCCCUUUUGUUGGGAAAGAAAGGCAGCAGGUUAAUACCCCGCUGUUCUGACGGUACCCAAAGAAUAAGCACCGGCUAACUUCGUG
rnacentral:rRNA from 1 species